GAUGAACGCUGGCGGCGUGCCUAAUACAUGCAAGUCGAGCGAACAGAUGAGGAGCUUGCUCCUCUGACGUUAGCGGCGGACGGGUGAGUAACACGUGGAUAACCUACCUAUAAGACUGGGAUAACUUCGGGAAACCGGAGCUAAUACCGGAUAAUAUAUUGAACCGCAUGGUUCAAUAGUGAAAGACGGUUUUGCUGUCACUUAUAGAUGGAUCCGCGCCGUAUUAGAUAGUUGGUGAGGUAACGGCUUACCAAGGCAACCAUGCGUAGCCGACCUGAGGGGGUGAUCGGCCACACUGGAACGGAGACACGGACAAUACUCCUAAGGGAGGCAGCAGUAGGGAAUCUUCCGCAAUGGGCGAAAGCCUGACGGAGCAACGCCGCGUGAGUGAUGAAGGUCUCGGGAUCGUAAAACUCUGUUACUAGUGAAGAACAAAUGUGUAAGUAACUAUGCACGUCUUGACGGUACCUAAUCAGAAAGCCACGGCUAACUACGUG
rnacentral:rRNA from 1 species